rnacentral:rRNA from 1 species
CCUACGGGAGGCAGCAGUAGGGAAUAUUGCACAAUGGGCGAAAGCCUGAUGCAGCAACGCCGCGUGUGCGAUGAAGGCCUUCGGGUCGUAAAGCACUUUUCUGGGAGAUGAGAAAGGACAGUAUCUCAGGAAUAAGUCUCGGCUAACUACGUGCCAGCAGCCGCGGUAAAACGUAGGAGGCAAGCGUUAUCCGGAUUCACUGGGUGUAAAGCGCGUGCAGGCGGUUCGGUAAGUUGGGCGUGAAAUCUCCUGGCUCAACUAGGAGAGGUCGUUCAAUACUACCGGACUUGAGAGUGGUAGAGGAAGAUGGAAUUCCCGGUGUAGUGGUGAAAUGCGUAGAUAUCGGGAGGAACACCAGUGGCGAAGGCGAUCUUCUGGACCAUUUCUGACGCUCAGACGCGACAGCUAGGGUAGCAAACGGGAUUAGAGACCCCGGUAGUCCUAGCCGUAAACGAUGUGAACUUGGCGUCGGUGGCUUAAACNCCAUCGGUGCCGCAGCAAACGCGAUAAGUUCACCACCUGGGGAC